UAAAUACUUAAUUAAAUGAAUGGAAAUAAACUAUAUUCAAAUUCAAUUUGCAUUUACACAUUCCAACUACUAACAUUUACUCCUCCCACAUUUGAACUACCAACAUUUACUCACCUCACAUUUCAACUACCAACAUUUACUCACCAACAUCUAUCCUUCGUCCAUUUACAUAAAUAUUCGAACUACUACUGACCUUUAUCCAUUUUCUUUUUGACACGCAUUUUACAAGCUUUCUGCCUAAUCAAGCUUCAUGCGUGAUCGACUACAGCAAAAAGGUAACCUUCAUGUAAUAAAAUAAAUUUAAAAUCUAUUUAUGAAUACUAUUAUGUUAAAAAGUUAUACAAAUGAUAUUCAAAUUUUUUGCAAUUCAAGCUUAAGUCUGUAGUGUCGAGUUCUCCUAUGAUAGUUUAAGGUAGCACACUAAAAUCAUGUUUUACAGUACAACAUGCCCAUAUUAAUUUCCUUUUUUUUUUUUACCUUAAGAAGACGUAGAAGUGUAGCACUCCGCGAUAAAACUGAUCUUCGCAUUUAAAAAAUACUCUCCAACUAUAUUCUAAAUAGGAUCUCAGAUACACUGAUGAUCUGAGUAAAUGAGAUUUAAACAAAAUUUAACAUUCCUUUUAAAAAAAUUAUUUUAAUCCCUUUUGGAUAUAAAAUUUAGGUUUUUCCAAUCUAUCACUUCAAAAAAAUAAAAAUUCAACAGAAUUAAUAUGAUGUAUUUUCUGAGAUCAACUAACACACCUAACGUGGAAAAUUUCAUUUGUCUAUUAAUACUAGAAAAUCUUCUUGUUUAACUAACUAAUUUUUUUACUUAACAUAAUCCUCAAUUACAUUAUACCAUUGUUUUUAUUUGCAUAAUUAACACAAUUAUUAGAAAGCUUUUGACAAGCAUACAUAUCUUCAUUUUAAUUUAUUAAGAUGAUACAUAUUAAUUAAUGACAAUUUUGUUUAAAAAUGAAAAUAAUGAACUCAAUCAAACUUCUCGUUUUUCUAUAUUUUAUACAUGUCUAUGGUUGAUAACUAUCAUUACUCAUCAUUAUUGACUUAUUCCAAUUUCAUAAAUUCUUGUAUAACAUUUUCUUCAAAUAUAUUGCGUAAUUAUUAAAGUUCACAAAUUUUAUUUAUUUAAACUGUAUAUUAAUCAUAGUGCAAAUUAUAUUGUUUCCAUCUAUAUAUUGUACUAUUAAGUUUCAAAUAUGAAAAUGUGAUAAAGUUUCAUAAAAUUGUAACUAGCUAUCCUUUCUAUCACAAUACAUAUACAAUUUCAGAUCAAUGACAAAAAACAAUGCUUCAAGUAGUAUAGAUAUAAUCUUAAAUUUAUUUUUAAUAAAGUUGUAGUAUGUAGCUUCUAAAAAAUUAUGUUAGAUUAGUAUAUGAAUAAAUUUGUUGACUAAUGAAUAGUUUUUUUAAUAAUUUUUGGAGAUGUCGUUAGAAUACAUAUUAUCUCUAAAUCAAUGAUUUUUUGCUACGAUUACUCAAUUUGCAAAUCAUCAAUAUUUUAAAGAUUUUGUAGAACUUAUAGAUGCAGACGAUCAAGCUUAUUUAUUGUGCAGUCCAUUCCAUGGAUUCAUUUGCAGAAGUAUGUAUAAAAAGAAAAAUGAAAAAUUUAGCAGCAAAUUAAUACAUGAGUUCAUAAUGAGACUUAUAAACUGCGGUAAAAAUAACGAAGUUUGGGUACAAUUACACGAUCAUGUAGCCCGUUUUGGCCUGCAAGAAUUUUGUCUAAUCACUGGAUUACCAUGCCAUGAAGUUAUUGUUAAUCUCAAUUUUAGUAAUACUCGACUUAGGGAUGAAUACUUCAAUGGUUCAAGGAGAAUUACUAUGAUAAGACUUUCUGAAGUAUUUUAUAUGUGUCGAGAUCGAGAAGAUAAAUUUAAGUUGGGAUUAGUUAUGUUCGUCGAAUGCGUUUUAAAACCAACUGGAAGACACAUCGAUUUCAGAACUCUUGGAAUACUUGAACAACUUGAUGAGUUCCUUAUGUAUCUAUGGGGACGUAAGACAUACUUUGUUUUAUUAAAUUCAUUACAAGAAUCACAGUUUGAAAGAGUACGAAGAAUACAACAAAAUGACCAAAUAGACUGUAAAUAUUCGUUGCAUGGUUAUCCCCUUGCAUUCCAGGUAUUUUUCUUUCAUUUUUUCACCAUUACAUAUAAUUUAAUCAUAUAAAAACUUUAAUAUUUCUUUUUACUUAUAUUUCAGCAUUGGAUAUAUGAAACUUUUCCUCAAAUUGGACAACAAUUCGGCCAUCGUAUCCGUACAAGCUUAAAAUGUCCACGAAUACAUAAAUGACAGCCUCAAAUAGUAUUAACGGAACAUGUUAUUAGACAAUUUUUGGCUGCUCAAGAGGUAUGUUUAUUUCAAUAUACAAUUAAAUAUAUAUUUAAUUCUUUAUAAAUAAAUUUUAAAAAAUACAUAUGAUAUUUUAUUACAAUUAUAGAUUACAGUAAUUGCAACGCUAAAUCCUACUGAAGCAGAAUUGGAAACAUUUUGGUAUACAAAUCUUUCACUACCAAUUGACAACCAACAUCGUACACUAGACAACAUUGUCAAUAGUGAAUUGGACAAUGUAACAUAAAAAUUCCAGCGGAUAACAUACAUACACAAGAAAGAACUAUCCACUCUUCAGAUGGAAUUGAAUCUACUUAUUCUGGUAGCUCAAACUAUGUAAUUAAACAAUAUAUGGAACAGAUGUUCAAUAUACACAAACAAGAUGUCUUUGGUUUCUACGACAGCUUAAAAACACAGAUGAUUUAAGAAUCAACAAAGCAAGAAGCUCUCUGUUAGACAAUUCUUGACAAUCAGAAACAAUUUUUUGAACAUCAGCAAAAAGACCAACAAGACUACUUCUAGGGCAUACAAUCUAACAUUCAAUCUUAUGUGGAUACCAGUUUCGAUUUAACGAAGUCUUACAUUGAUGAACAAAAUCGAAAUAUGCAGAAUCAGUUAUCGACUGAAAAUCACACAUGGAAACAAUUGUAGCCUCUGUACAACGAGAUGUGCCUCCUCAUACAAAGCCAGUUGAAUUCGGAAUCCCUUCAACAUUUGAACAUACAGAAAACGUUGAAAGAUCGACGAAAUAAAAAAAAGGCAAGCAGAAACAGACACAAUCUCCAUCGACAACGCCGACUAAUAUUUUAGAAGACUAUAACAUCAACAUGUACAAAAACAUUAGAGAAUGGAUAUCACAAAAUUCAUCAGAGUAAGAUAUUUAAUUUAACCUCGUUAACUUAAAUAUUCUAAUUUGUAUUUUACUUAUUUGACAACAAUUUAAUUUUUUUUAUACAGCGCAUACUGGAAAGAUGAAAUCGGCAAUCUAUACGGAAGACAAUCGUUGAUAAAUAUAAUAAAUCAAACGAAAGAUAUAAAUAUUGUGGUAAGUCAACUUUAGUAAUCAUAAUUAAUUAUACUCCAUUAUUAAUAUAUCUAAUUUACAUUUUUUUUACUAGUAUAUUGAUAUAGAAUUAAAGCUGUUGAGAAUACUUAUUCACGAUGGAUCUUCCCCGCUUUCUAAAGAAUAUGCAAU
rnacentral:lncRNA from 1 species